UUUUUUUCUUCCAAAAGAAGGUAACAUAUAUGUCAGAAAGGCAGAAACAGUAGCAAUUCUGAAGGAGCAAAUGUUGUUUUAAUCAAGAAUUUUUCAGUGAAAAAGCAACCAUUGUCUCAAUGAACUCGAUAGCAUGUAUCAAUCUUUUCUUUCAGCACUUGGCAUACACCUCAACCAAAACCAACUAAACAACAGAAAUAAUAGACUAAACAGGCAGAGAAUAAUGUAAUUGCCUUCAACACGAAGUGAUCUAGUUCCAGGCUCUCCAUUUUCGUGCUCCAAUUCAUGUUGACACUCAUCUUCACUCUCAGUGGCACAGGUAGCAUCGACACCUUCAUUGCAAGUGUUAAAAAACCUGGCCAACCUUUCUGAAACAGAUUGUAAACCUUUGUCCAACGAUUCUUCAUCUCCAUCAUAAUCAUCAUCCCCUUCAAAGAUUAAAUAAACUCCGCAUUUCUUCAACCUCAAUCCUUUAUCAAAAGGAGGACUUCUCGUAGUCACACAAAAUGUAUCAGCAUCUUUUAAAAAGGCUACUAAUUGAUGGUAAUUCUGGAACCUACACAAGUGUAUGUGAUCUACAUUUGUCCUUGGCACCCCACGAAUGUUUAACGUUGUACCAAACUUUUGUUUCCCAUGUUUGAAGACUUUUCCUUCAACAUCAAUGAUUCCAGGCAUUUCUUCUCUCUUUAUAGGUAUAUGAAUAUUGUGGUUAAUUGAAACAACAACACCUACAACUACACUUGUUAGCUCGAGAUUUUUGCGAUUGGAAAAGCUUACAGUUUCUCCUGAAAACCAUUCAGGUAACUUGGUUCCUGGCAUGCUCAAGUUCUCAAAAUUUCUCAAACAACCUUUGAAAGUCUUUUGCAUACUUUGGAGGAGCAUGCAUUGCAACCGCUCAGGUACAAUCUUUUCAAAGACUUCAAGCAUUCAAGACCUGGAAUAUCAGCCACUUUCUCGCAAUUUGUGAGUUCCAACUCCUCCAAACUCUCUAAACUUGACAUGUCGUGUAUAGUUUCUAAUGCAUAGCAAUUACUAGCAUUUAGCUUGAUCAAGCUUGAAGGAAGUAAGGGGAGAGAAAUCAGCUCCGUGCAAUUUGGCAGUGAGAGUUCCUUGAGAAUGGAAAGGCCUUUCAAGCUAGAAGGAAGGCUGUGAAAAUUGUUUUGGUCCAACUUUAAAGUCUCUAAUAGUGAUAGCUUCUCGAAAUCGUCCGGAAUUUUUCCCGAUAAUCUCCAGGCACGGGCAUCCAACUCAUGUAGCAAGGUCAGAUUACAGAAAGAAGGCGGUAACACAAAAGAGCCAGUGUUCUUCACUGAUAUUGGAACUAAAUGAGGCCUCUUUGCCAUUCUGAGUGUUCUCAAGCUUGAGAGCAUACCGAAACUUUCAGGCAAGUCUACCAUAGCUGUUUCCUCCAUCUUUAAAUGACAUAGAGACUUCAGGUUUCCUAUAGAAGCUGGAAGCUGUUUAAGCAUUCUACAUCUGCUCAAUGUUAAGUUAACAAGAUUUUCCAAUAAUCCAAUCGACACUGGCAAUUCUCUGAUAUUUCCAUUGAUUAUGUUCAGUGUAUUAAGAGAUGUUAGGUAGCCAAUGGAUUCCGGUAAUGAUUCAAGAUUGCUACAAUUCCCAAUCUCAAGUUUCCUAAGUUGUUUCAACUCUCCAAUCUGAUCUGGCAGAUAUCUGAUAUAAGUUCCAUCUAAGUCAAGUUCAAUAAUUGAGGCCAGAGUUUUAAACGAGUCGGGCAAUUUACUGAGUUUACACUUUCUAACUAGUAAAGUCCUCAGAUAGGAUAAAGAACCAAUGGUGGAAGGGAGUUCUUUAAUCCCACUGUUGGAAGCCAAAAGUUCUGUCAACGAUUCGAGAUUUCCUAUAGAAUCAGGCAUUAGAGUGAGACCUUCACACCCCAUCAAACUUAAUUUCUCAAGGUUUUUCAAGAAACCGACAGUGUUGGGUAAUUCUUGUAAACCUGUUUCAUAAAGAGAUAAUUCUUGCAAAGCACAUAGUUUUCCAAUGCAGUCUGGUAGUCUUCUCAAAUGUGAGCAACGAUCUAAAACAAGUCGUUCAAGUUUGGUCAAGCGAAAAAUGGACUCGGGCAACUUUACUAUGGCAGUUUUAUCAGCAGCAAGGGUUUUCAGUGAUUUAAGCAUGCCUAUGUUUUCUGGUAAUGCUUUUAACUUGGAGCAUUCAGAAAGAAUGAGGCUCUCCAGAUGUUUCAGUCCAGAUACAUCACUAGGAAGUUCAAUCAAGUUUUC
rnacentral:lncRNA from 1 species